UACAUAGGGAGCAAGCGUUAUCCGGAAUUAUUGGGUGUAAAGGGUGCGUAGACGGGAAAUUAAGUUAGUUGUGAAAUCCCUUGGCUUAACUGAGGAACUGCAACUAAAACUGAUUUUCUUGAGUACUGGAGAGGAAAGUGGAAUUCCUAGUGUAGCGGUGAAAUGCGUAGAUAUUAGGAGGAACACCAGUGGCGAAGGCGACUUUCUGGACAGUAACUGACGUUGAGGCACGAAAGUGUG
rnacentral:rRNA from 1 species